rnacentral:misc_RNA from 1 species
GAUGAAGAACGCAGCGAAAUGCGAUAAGUAAUGUGAAUUGCAGAAUUCAGUGAAUCAUCGAAUCUUUGAACGCACAUUGCGCCCGCUAGUAUUCUAGCGGGCAUGCCUGUUCGAGCGUCAUUUCAACCAUCAAGCCCCAGGCUUGUGUUGGAGCCCUGCGACCAUCCGCAGCCUCCUAAAAUCAGUGGCGGGCUCGCUAUCACACCGAGUGCAGUAGUUUACUCUUCGCUCAGGACGUGUAGCGGGUUCCGGCCGUGAAACCCCCCAAUUUUCAAGGUUGACCUCGGAUCAGGUAGGAAUACCCGCUGAACUUAAGCAUAUCAAUAAGCGGAGGA